AGACGUCUACAUUAGAUACCCGGUAGUCCCAGCCGUAAACUAUGCGCGUUAGGUGUAUCGGUGACCACGAGUCACCGAGGUGCCGAAGGGAAACCGUGAAACGUGCCGCCUGGGAAGUACGGUCGCAAGGCUGAAACUUAAAGGAAUUGGCGGGGGAGCACCACAACAGGUGGAGCCUGCGGUUUAAUUGGACUCAACGCCGGGAAGCUCACCGGAUAGGACAGCAGAAUGAUUGCCGGGCUGAAGACUCUGCAUGACUAGCUG
rnacentral:rRNA from 1 species